rnacentral:rRNA from 1 species
UACGGAAGGCAGCAGUGGGGAAUAUUGCACAAUGGGCGCAAGCCUGAUGCAGCGACGCCGCGUGGGGGAUGACGGCCUUCGGGUUGUAAACUCCUUUCGCUAGGGACGAAGCGCAAGUGACGGUACCUGGAGAAGAAGCACCGGCUAACUACGUGCCAGCAGCCGCGGUAAUACGUAGGGUGCGAGCGUUGUCCGGAAUUACUGGGCGUAAAGAGCUCGUAGGUGGUUUGUCGCGUCGUUUUGUGUAAGCCCGCAGCUUAACUGCGGGACUGCAGGCGAUACGGGCAUAACUUGAGUGCUGUAGGGGAGACUGGAAUUCCUGGUGUAGCGGUGGAAUGCGCAGAUAUCAGGAGGAACACCGGAUGGCGAAGGCAGGUCUCUGGGCAGGUAACUGACGCUGAGGAGCGAAAGCAUGGGGUAGCGAACAGGGAUUAGAUACC